CCAAACACGCAAAGCAGUUUUGCGGCGCACAGCGUCCGGUGUUGAGUCACUGUUUGAUUUCACUGAAUAUGUGAGUGUCAGUGCCUACAGCACAUGAUCAGGGUGAACAUGUCAGUAAGAGCACAGAGGAAGGAGUAAAAGACCCUGUUUACACCGCAGUACACGGCACUGUACAUCCCUGCACGGAACGUGAUUUAUCAGUUUCAGAAGAAAGGCAGAAAACCACGGUAAAACGCGUAACACUGCCUGUGAAAUGGGACGUUGAGAUGACACCGGACACGGCGACCCUCUCUGGAGCUCGUUUUCAAGUCACUGAUGAGGAUCCAUGGCUGCUGUGAAACCUCUUCUUUCUGCCAGUGGAUCAGCACCUGUCAUAUUUUAAACGUUGAGCUACUCCCUCCAUCCAUCCAUCCAUCCAUCCAUCCA